AGAAAAUCUGGGGUAUAAGUAGUUGGUCGCAUAAAACUGUCACUAUUAUAGCGAGAGUACUAAGAGGAUCCGAAAGCGAUUUAUUUGUUCCAGUACCUGGCUACCAGAGCAUGAAUAUGCUUUGGAUACUGGUCAUCUGCGCUCUCAGUCCAGCUGCUGCUGAAACAACCGACAUCUGCGCACUCCCUCUUGAACAAGGGAUUUGUGCUGGGGGUCCACAGCGAUGGUACUUCGACAUGAAGUUAGGCAUCUGUCGACAAUUCCAUUACAGGGGUUGUGGGGGCAAUGCCAACAACUUUGCAACGAACAAAGCGUGCGAGGAGGCCUGUGGAGGGAAUAGGCCACCACCGACACCGAAGCCUCAACCACAAGUGGUGACCUCUGGGAACAUCAUGUGCACGCUUCCGCUCGAUCGUGGACCAUGCGCCGGAGGUCCACAGAGGUGGUAUUUUGAUACGAAACGAGGAUCCUGUCGAGAGUUCGCCUACAGCGGAUGCGGUGGCAAUGCUAACAACUUCAUUAGUCUCAAUGCAUGUCAGAAAACAUGCUUGUAACUUGUUCAAGAACUCGAUUAAAUGAAUACCACACUG